rnacentral:miRNA from 1 species
GCAGCACAGCUCACAUGGUAUAAGUUCAUAUGUCCCAUGACAGCAGCAGCAGCAGCAGCAGCAGCAGCAGCAGCAGCAGCAGCAGCAGCAGCAGCAGCAGCAGCAGCAGCAG